GCAGCAGUGAGGAAUUUUUCACAAUGGACGAAAGUCUGAUGGAGCAAUACCAUGUGAACGAUGAAGGUCUUCUGAUUGUAAAGUUCUUUUAUUUAGGAAAAAAAGCUUGAUAGGAAAUGAUUAAGCCUUGAUUGUACUAAAUGAAUAAGUGACAGCUAACUAUGUGCCAGCAGCUGCGGUAAAACAUAGGUCACGAGCAUUAUCCGGAUUUAUUGGGCGUAAAGGAAGCGUAGGCGGACAAAUUGAUCUAUUGUUAAAGGCACUUGCUCAACGAGUUGUUUGUGAUAGAUAUCGUUUGUCUAGAAUUAGUUAGGAGAUACUGGAAUUCAAUGUGUAGCGGUGGAAUGCGUAGAUAUAUUGAGGAACACCAGAGGCUAAGGCGAGUAUCUAGGACAUAAUUGACGCUGAGGCUUGAAAGCGUGGGGAGCAAAUGGGAUUAGAUACCCCAGUAGUCCACGCCGUAAACGAUGGGUAUUAGGUAUUUGGUCUAGGACUGAGUGCUGUAGCUAACGCGUUAAAUACCCCGCCUGGGUAGUAUAUAUGCAAAUAUGAAACUCAAAGAAAUUGACGGGGACCUGAACAAGUGGUGGAGCAUGUUGCUUAAUUCGAUAAUACACGAAAAACCUUACCGAGGCUUGUAAUCUUUUGCGAAGCUAUAGAAAUAUAGUGGAGGUUAUCAGAAUGACAGGUGGUGCAUGGCUGUCGUCAGCUCGUGUCUUGAGAUGUUUGGUUAAGUCCCGUAACGAGCGCAACCCUUCUCUUUAGUUAAAUAGUUCUAAAGUGACUGAAUCGUAAGAUAUAGGAAGGCUGGGGCCAAGUCAAGUCAUCAUGCCCCUUAUGCCUCGGGCUGCAAACGUGCUACAAUGGUAGGCAUAAUGUGUCGCAAUCUAGAAAUAGGGAGCUAAUCACCGAAAACCUAUCUCAGUCCGGAUAAAAGGCUGCAAUUCGCCUAUUUGAAGU
rnacentral:rRNA from 1 species